rnacentral:rRNA from 1 species
AGGGAAUAUUGGGCAAUGGAGGCAACUCUGACCCAGCCACGCCGCGUGGAGGAUGAAGGUGCUAUGCAUCGUAAACUUCUUUUGUCAAGGGAGAAAGUGCUUGAUUGAUCAGGUUUUGACGGUACUUGGCGAAUAAGCAUCGGCUAACUACGUGCCAGCAGCCGCGGUAAUACGUAGGAUGCAAGCGUUAUCCGGAAUCACUGGGUUUAAAGGGUCUGUAGGCGGUAUUAUAAGUCAGUGGUGAAAUAUCUGGGCUUAACUUGGAGGGUGCCAUUGAUACUGUAGUACUUGAGAUAGAAUGACGUGGGCGGAAUGUGUCAUGUAGCGGUGAAAUGCUUAGAGAUGACACAGAACACCGAUUGCGAAGGCAGCUCACGAAGCCUUAUCUGACGCUGAGGGACGAAAGCGUGGGGAGCAAAC